AGAUUGAACGCUGGCGGCAGGCCUAACACAUGCAAGUCGAGCGGCAGCACGGGUACUUGUACCUGGUGGCGAGCGGCGGACGGGUGAGUAAUGCCUAGGAAUCUGCCUGGUAGUGGGGGAUAACGCUCGGAAACGGACGCUAAUACCGCAUACGUCCUACGGGAGAAAGCAGGGGACCUUCGGGCCUUGCGCUAUCAGAUGAGCCUAGGUCGGAUUAGCUAGUUGGUGGGUAAUGGCUCACCAAGGCGACGAUCCGUAACUGGUCUGAGAGGAUGAUCAGUCACACUGGAACUGAGACACGGUCCAGACUCCUACGGGAGGCAGCAGGUGGGAAUAUUGGACAAGUGGGACGAAAGCCUAGAUCCAGCCAUGCCGCGUGUGUGAAGAGGUCUUACGGAUUGUAAAGCUAUUUAAGUGGAGGAAGGCAGUUACCUAAUACGUAUCUUAGUUUUUGACGUUACCGACAAGAAUAAGAC
rnacentral:rRNA from 1 species